CUGAAAAUAAAUCGUUAUUCAUGUUCUAAAUUUAAAAAAGGAAGUUUCCCAGUAUGGAUUUCCUAGUGAAAGUGAGUGGAUAUAUAAAGAGAAUCUUCUGGACAAAGAGAUCAUACCUCUCUCAGCUGUUAAAAAGUUAACAAUUAUUUAUUGAACGAGUUAUUGUGAAUCAAUUCAUAAAAAAAUGAAUCAACAAAACAUCGUGUACUGCUCUAAAGUGAGCGAACAUGAUGAAGCAUUUGGUGAGGAUGUUGAAGCAUCUGGUGAUAAUGUUGAAGAAUGUGUUGGUGACAUUGAAGAAUAUGGUGGUGAUGUUGGGGAAGUUAUUGAUGAGGUAUUGGAACGUCGUAGACAGUCUCAUCGUCGUAUUUCUAUACAACUUCAACACAUAGGUGACACGCUUGUGAAGGAUUACGAAGAAAGGAAGGCGGCUAAUAAGAUGAUACCAUUCAUCAGCGAUGCUAUUGUAGAAAUAUUUAAGAUGUUGAACAAUAGUUCUGUAUUGAAUCUAUACAGAGACUAUUUCGUGUGACUUUUAUGACUGAAGUUUGCCCCGGAUUGAUUUCUAAAUUAUCGAAAACCAAAAUCGACAAUUAAGUUGCCCAAGGAAAAGAAUCAGCGCCACGGACGAUUGUGUACAGAAUGAUUGAAACGGGAGACCAAAUAUGUAAAAGGGAAUAAUUUUAGGGAGAUCGAAUAUGAUUACAUGAUGGACAUUACGCAAGUUUAGUGGUGUGAGGAGGAGAAAAACAUUUUUGAUUUGACAUAACAAUGUUUUGGAUGACAUAAUGCGGCUGUUUUCCUUGUGUACAAAAUGGUAAAAAAGAAAACAGUUAUGCUAACUUGACACUACCUGGAAAAGAAUGCGAGUUGCAAGAAGACAAUUGAAUUGCUAUGAUAAUUGAGAGAACCAUGACUGACGAAAGAGAGAAAAGAUAUGUGAGAGGAAAUGAUUUACUAUAUGUGUUAUGGCAAACUUUGGUGACAUUAUUUUAUUGUAACGCAAGAGUAAACAUUUUAAUACAAUAUUGUACGAAACCUGAACUGAUCAGAACAGUGUGUUUUAUAUAACGGUAAUUAUUUUGACAAUACAAUAACUAUAUUUAACAUUUUAGAAUAUUUAAUGAAUAGUUUUGAUGUGUGUAUGUGAUUUGAUUUAAUAUUCAUUUGUAAAUAAAUAAAACAAAGAUAAUAGA